UACGUAGGGAGCAAGCGUUGUCCGGAAUCAUUGGGCGUAAAGCGCGCGUAGGUGGCCCGGUAAGUCCGCUCUGAAAGUCAAAGGCUCAACCUUUGAAAGCGGGUGGAUACUGCCAGGCUAGAGUCCGGAAGAGGCGAGUGGAAUUCCUGGUGUAGCGGUGGAAUGCGCAGAUAUCAGGAGGAACACCAACGGCGAAGGCAGCUCGCUGGGACGGUACUGACACUGAGACGCGAAAGCGUGGGGAGCGAACAGG
rnacentral:rRNA from 1 species